rfam:Canis lupus familiaris chromosome 3, whole genome shotgun sequence.
GUGCUUGCUUCUGCAGCACAUAAUUUAAAGAAUUUGAACAAUGCAUGGAAGAUUGGCAUGGCCACUGUGCAUGGAAGACAUACAAAUUUGUGAAGUGUUCCAUAUUAAA